rnacentral:rRNA from 1 species
UGGGGGAUAUUGCGCAAUGGGGGAAACCCUGACGCAGCAACGCCGCGUGAAGGAUGAAGGUCUUCGGAUUGUAAACUUUUGUCUUAUGGGAAGAACACAAUGACGGUACCAUAGGAGGAAGCCACGGCUAACUACGUGCCAGCAGCCGCGGUAAUACGUAGGUGGCAAGCGUUGUCCGGAUUUACUGGGUGUAAAGGGCGUGUAGGCGGGCUUUUAAGUUGGAUGUGAAAUCUUUGGGCUUAACCCAAAAACUGCAUUCAAAACUGAAGGUCUUUGAGUGUCGGAGAGGAAAGCGGAAUUCCUAGUGUAGCGGUGAAAUGCGUAGAUAUUAGGAGGAACACCGGUGGCGAAGGCGGCUUUCUGGACGAUAACUGACGCUGAGGCGCGAAAGCGUGGGGAGCAAACA